GUGGAUUAGAUACCCCAGUAGUCCACGCCCUAAACGAUGUCAACUAGGUGUUGGGAGGGUAAAACCUUUUAGUACCGGAGCUAACGCGUGAAGUUGACCGCCUGGGGAGUACGGCCGCAAGGUUAAAACUCAAAGGAAUUGACGGGGACCCGCACAAGCGGUGGAUGAUGUGGAUUAAUUCGAUGCAACGCGAAAAACCUUACCUACCCUUGACAUGUCCAGAAGCUCUUAGAGAUUUGAGUGUGCCCGAAAGGGAGCUGGAACACAGGUGCUGCACGGCCGUCGUCAACU
rnacentral:rRNA from 1 species